UGGGGAUAUUGGACAAUGGGGGAGACCCUGAUCCAGCGACGCCGCGUGAGUGAAGAAGUAUUUCGGUAUGUAAAGCUCUAUCAGCAGGGAAGAAAGAAAUGACGGUACCUGAGUAAGAAGCCCCGCUAACUACGUGCCAGCAGCCGCGGUAAUACGUAGGGGCGAAGCGUUAUCCGGAAUUACUGGGUGUAAAGGGAGCGUAGACGGUAAAGCAAGUCUGGAGUGAAAGGCUGGGGCCCAACCCGGGCUGGCUCGUGAAGACUGUUAAACUGGAGUGCAGGAGAGGCAGGCGGAAUUCCUAGUGUAGCGGUGAAAUGCGUAGAUAUUAGGAGGAACACCAGUGGCGAAGGCGGCCUGCUGGACUGUAACUGACGUUGAGGCUCGAAAGCGUGGGGAGCAAACAGGAUUAGAUACC
rnacentral:rRNA from 1 species